rnacentral:rRNA from 1 species
AGACUUAUCUGCAGUCGAGAUUCUACGGGAGGCAGCAGCUAAGAAUCUUCCGCAAUGGGCGAAAGCCUGACGGAGCGACGCCGCGUGGACGAAGAAGGCCGGAAGGUUGUAAAGUCCUUUUCCUGGGGGAGAAUAAUGCGGGGAGGGAAUGCCCUGCAGAUGACGUGAACCAGGGAAUAAGCCCCGGCUAAUUACGUGCCAGCAGCCGCGGUAACACGUAAGGGGCGAGCGUUGUUCGGAUUUAUUGGGCGUAAAGGGCGUGUAGGCGGUAGUGCAAGUCUGGUGUGAAAGGCCCCGGCUCAACCGGGGAAGCGCGCUGGAAACUGUGCUGCUAGAGUUUAGGAGGGGAAGCUGGAAUUCCUGGUGUAGGGGUGAAAUCUGUAGAGAUCAGGAAGAACACCGGAGGCGAAGGCGAGCUUCUGGCCAUAGACUGACGCUGAGGCGCGAAAGCGUGGGGAGCAAACAGGAUUAGAUACCCUGGUAGUCCACGCUGUAAACGAUGUGCACUAGGUGUUGGGGGUAUGAACUCUCGGUGCCGGAGCUAACGCGUUAAGUGCACCGCCUGGGGAGUACGCCGGCAACGGUAAAACUCAAAGGAAUUGACGG